UAGAGGAUUUAUCUAGAUUAAUUAAUUAAAAUUUUAGUUAAUACAAAUAAACAUGGAUAAAUUAUAAGGUACAAAGAAUGAAGACAGGAAUUGAAGUUGGGCUCCCUCUUCGGCCCAUCAAUAAGCUGCUCAGCUUUUGGGCCUCAUCCUCAUGGACUUGGGUCCAUUUUCUGUAGUGUAUACCACAUGUAUACCAGCCCUUUUUUCUGUGUUUUCCUGUAUAUAUCCACGUAUACACUGUAUAUCAGAAUAUAAAUCAACAUAUAUUCUCUCUAUUUGUUACUAUACACCGUAUGUGCAACUACUGCUUUCAGUGUAUAUCCAUUGUAUAUCACCGCAGAUCAGUCCCGUUAUGGGACUUCAGCAUGGGGUUUUGACUCGAGAUAGCAUAGGCCUCUUUGGCUCAUCAGAAUAUGCGAGAAAAAUGGACUCCAAUGGACUCAGAUUCAUGUCACAUGCAUCAAAUAAAAGAUAAAAAUUAGCACGUAACUUAAGCUAUAUUUAUAGUGAAACAUAACUUGAUAAAUAAAAAUCAAUCUAAAGAACUUCUAAGCAUGAGAAAAUGAACUUCUUAUAGUAUGAACCAAACAAAACACAUAUCUUAUAUUUAUUCCAAACCAAUGUAAAGUGAGAAGAAAGUUUUCUUGAGGAAAAGUGACUAAUUAAUUGACUAAUAGUAUUAACUUUCAUUGUUACGUACACUAUGUAAAAGAAAACAAGCAAGAAAUCUUAGAGACGGGUGAGGAUUUCGAUAGCUUUUCUACGAUAAAUUAAUCAUCUUAAUUGGUGGAUCUUUAGUAUAGAUAUUAUCCAACGUACAUGAAAUAAUAGAUUUAAAUUUUCAACAAAAUGAUGUCGUGGAACUUUAGCAUACGCAAUACUUGAGGGUGAGGGUUUACUAGUAUAAAUGCAUGAUGGACAGUGCAAUAAGUAACUCUUUACAUAGUCCAAUCACUUAUGAAGCCUUAUGAAGUUCCAAGAAAGUUUUUAUAAUAAAUAUUAAUGGAUUAUCAAAUACAAAUAGUAACUAUUACACUUUUUAUAACAUUUCAUAGUAUAUUAAUAUUGAGGGCAAAUGUUGAUUACUACUUCCAAAUUCGAAUAAAAUUUUUUAGUGUAUAUAUAGAGACAAACCAAAAUAACUUUUAUAAACAUGAUUUAAGUUUUUAAUUGCAGCUAUGCCAUAACAGGUUUUAGGGAAAACAAGACAACCCAAUUUCACUAUAAAGAAACGGAAGAUAUUCAACUACUAGUGUACUUAUAAGUUUAUCAAACAUAGUAAAAAUUAAACUGCAAACUCUAUAAAUUACUAUAAAGAUGAAUCAAGACAAAACCAAACGUUGAACUAGCAAUCCGAUAGUGAACAAUUAACGAACCAUUAUUGAAAUAUAAGUUUCCGAAAUCAUGUAUGGUGGAUUCUUAUCCCUUUUCUGUAACAAAUACAGAAUCCAAAGAUCAGAUCAUACAAACUAUUUUCUAUCUUAAAUCAGAGAAGAAAUACUCGAUAAUGCUAAAGCAAUAAGGAAAAUUGAAAUAUCAACAACACUUCAUCGUACGACUUUUAAAGUUUUAAACUUUAACAACUACACAUCGACAAUCAAUCAACAUCUAGGAAACACCACUGCUAAUCUAAUCAUCAAUGAGUUUCAAAUUUUCUUGUCAAAAACAGAGAAAAGUUUUCACCUUUUUUGGAGCAACGAACUAGGACAACAAGCUUUAAUCAAACAAACGUUCACCACCAGAGUUUCAAUUAACCUCACCAGAGUUCAAUGUUUUUGCCGAAAUAUGAUUUUUGGAGUGUAUUCGUCGCGAAUUCUUCAGUUACAUGGGAUUAGAGGAAUGUUCCUCCCGAAUCCCUAAUUUUCUCCCAAAGAAUCCUCCCCUUUUCUUCUUUUCCUCAAUGUCUAUUUAUAGGGAAAUAUAUUGGUUUCAAUUCAAAACAUAGCCGUUGAAAAGAAGAAGAAAUAAAUCGGUAAAGAGAAAAUAUAUCCUCCAAAAUUUAGAUUUGAACUGACAAGUUCUGAUUCGGAUUAGAUUUUGAGGGUGAGAGACACAUAAUCUUGAACAAAAGUCAACAAUAAUGAAUUUAGGUCUGAGAAUUUCAGAGAAAAGAUGGAGAGAGAUUUCUGUGGUUUAAGGGUUCGUUUGGUUGAAUUUGUCAGUGUUCGCGGUUUGCUUGGAUUGUUGGUGUGUUGCAUUGAUAUUGUGUUGUUGUUGUUUGUAUGGGUGAUAA
rnacentral:lncRNA from 1 species